AACGAACGCUGGCGGCAGGCCUAACACAUGCAAGUCGAGCGAAGCCUUCGGGCUUAGCGGCGGACGGGUGAGUAACGCGUGGGAACGUGCCCUUUGGUACGGAAUAGCCCCGGGAAACUGGGAGUAAUACCGUAUGUGGUCGAGAGACGAAAGAUUUAUCGCCAAAGGAUCGGCCCGCGUUGGAUUAGGUAGUUGGUGGGGUAAUGGCCUACCAAGCCGACGAUCCAUAGCUGGUUUGAGAGGAUGAUCAGCCACACUGGGACUGAGACACGGCCCAGACUCCUACGGGAGGCAGCAGUGGGGAAUCUUAGACAAUGGGGGAAACCCUGAUCUAGCCAUGCCGCGUGAUCGAUGAAGGCCUUAGGGUUGUAAAGAUCUUUCAGUGGGGAAGAUAAUGACUGUACCCACAGAAGAAGCCCCGGCUAACUCCGUGCCAGCAGCCGCCGCUGUAA
rnacentral:rRNA from 1 species